GCUCCCCGCCAGCCGUGUGUGAGCCGGGGUGUGCAGCGCUGCCCGGCCCGACGCCAGGCCCGCUCCGAGGGCUCCUGCUCGUUCCCAAACAGAGGUCUGCGUAUGGAUUUUCUUCUCCCUUGCAGCAUAUCCCCCGCACUCGGGGUGUCUGGCGUUAAAAAUAAGGGAAGAGAGGCGAAAUUACGAUUAACCAUACACAUACUGCGUUAUAAGAUGUUUUUCAAAGGGCUUUUCUCUCGUUUGCGGGAUGGUAGGUUUAAAACGGCAGACAGGAGGAGAUAGGAAGAAAAUAAACCACUGUGCAAACCAGUAGGAUUGCAAUAAAUAAUAAAUUGUAGGCCACAACAGUAUUUUUUUGAGCUCACAGAUAAUAUAAAAAUACAGUUCCUAAGCAAGUAACAAAAAAGAUGGGGGGAGGAGAAGAGGAGGGGAAAAAAAGAAGGAGGGGGGAGAGAAAGUUCCUGUGCACUUUGUUCAAGGUUCUGCACCUCUCUAAGCAGCUGUCACAUCCGUACAUUAUGGUACAUUGAAUCUGAAUGAGGCUCUCCACAUCAAAACCUUGCAUCCAUUAUGAUAUCAUCUCCUGCUCUAAGCUGUAAUGCUUAUUAAUUCUGCACCCAUACUCUCCAAGCUUCAGCAAAUGUAUUCCAUCAGCCUAGCAUUUAAUUUAAUUAGUACAGCUGGGCUCUCAUUCUCCUUUCUGUGUCAGAGUGCCUUCGUGUGCUGUAUGGAAAACAAACAGGAGAGUUAAGACUGUAUUUCUCACUUCCAGUAACUGAGUCCUGGAUUCUGUUGCUGAGACUGAAUAGAACAGGCUACAUGGUGUUCACAAAUUUAAACUGAGGACCAGAGAACAGAGGAAGCUUAGCACCAGUCCCUUCUUUUCAGAUUGGAAAGAAAGUUAGAAAAAAAAAAGGGAGUAUAGUGGAAAACAGAGUUGGAUGGAUAGAGGAUUCUGUAAUUCUCCAGUCUUUGGUUUUCUCACAAAGCAUAUGAGAUGUCUAUCCCAGCCAUAAGCCCAGGAUUUCUGCAGUAGCAACAAUCAGAGCAUCGGGACACUUUGGUGGAACGUAAGGCAACAAACUGAUGGCACAGUUGGACCUAAUGCAACAGAAGAGCAAUCUAACCCUCUGGGUGACCCAGGGGCUGUCCUGGUAAAGCAGCAGAAGUGAAUCAUCCUCACUAGAAGAGGAGCUGAAAGGUUUGGAUAGUUUCAUAGCAGUCACUGUCUCAGCAAGCUAUGCCUCAUUGUGAUCUACUCAUGCCAAAGAUAUGAGAAGGAGCUUCUCCAGCACUGGAACAUCUACAAAGGAAACAGAAGAAAAUAUAUACCCUCAUUUUGCAUAUACUGCUGGGGCAUCAAAUGGAAAAUAUACUGUCACCUUCCCCAGGAAAUACAAAUAUAUGAUGUUAAAUAUAUACGAAAUAUGUGAAAACAUUUCUGCCAUUGCCAUAAAAAUAUGAUCUUUUGGUACAUGUGCUUGGAUACUCGUAAAAAAGUGAUUUCUUAAAGCUGUAACAUGUUCUGGUGGGUUCGUGAUAAUGACGACAGUCUCUAAACACUUCAAUGAGGAGCUCUAAGUUGCCUCAGUCUCUUUGAAGCUAAGCCUGAUGCUAAGCCAUGCUCCAUUUUAAAGCACUACCUUCAACUUUGAUGAUUUCAUCAAAUGACUGGAUUGCAUUGCAGUGGGAUAACCUAAUCUUCACUCCAUACUUUCUACUCAUAAGCCUCUUGAAAAACUGUUUUGCACUUUGGUUUUGGAAUAUGUAUUCUGCACUUGGAUGGUGUGGUUUCAACUUCAGACCCUAUUGAAAGGGGAAACAAAUCUAUGACCUAACCACUUCCCCUCAAAAAAAAAAAAAAAAAACCACAAAAAAAAACCAAAAAAAAACCCACCGUCAUACUGAGAAAACAAUUCCAUUACUGUCUACUGCUCUAAAAUUCAAUGACAGAAGCAACACAAACAAUUAGAUUUCCCCUGUUGAUUUUUAUAGCUUGCAUGUUACAGAAGUGGUAACUUCCCGCUGAUUUCACUCCAGUAUGGAUCAGGCAUCAUUCACAGCAAUCACAGGAACCAAACCCAUGGGAGACACAAUUUUUGUGAACUUUGUUUUUCCUGUCUACAACACAAACCCCAUUUAAUUCUUAAACACUAAAAUUAGAAUUAUCUUUAUUUACAUUUCUAAUGUCAUUUUAGUAAUUUCCCACCUCUAUCAUUUGAAUUUGUUCAAUGAUAUUUCCACCUUGAAAACAUGCUAAUAUUAACAUUUGAAGCCAUGGAAUAAAUACAAGUUGAGUGCCUGGAUUUCCCAUGACACUGCUGUUGGAGAGGGUGCUGAUCUGUAUUCCAGAGCAAUUGUAGGACAGGCAGGUUGUCACUGGACUUAAUUUCAAGACUUGAUAAAACUGCUGCAUUUAGGAAAAAAUAUUUAGCUGUGUCAAUUAUAUUUUGACUUCUGAGGCUUGCAACUAUGUCAUGGCAGAAUGCUGAAAAAGAGACAGCUGUGUCUAUGAUGGAAAGCACUCAUAUAAGUAUAUUGGUUAAAAAAGCAAACACAUUAGAGGUAACAGAAUGUCUAUUUUUAAGCAGCAAAAGAAGAUUUUUAGUAUCUAUCAAGGAUGUCAGUAAUUCUUUUUCCAGAUUUGUUGGUCAUUUUCUUGUUUGAAAAUAAGGGUCACGUUCUGCCAUAGCCUUUCUUUGCAGGUAAAUGGGCUGGAUAACAGCUACAGGCAUUUUUCUGCAUGUGGAAAUUGAAUAAAGACAGUCCAGGCUCCUCCCUGGAGCCAGAAACCAGCCGCAGAGCCAGCCACACUGCCCAUCGAAGUUGCAGCUACAAUUGAUUUUAAAUAAUUCAGUGGCAAUUAUUCCAGAAUAAAACCUUCUUCUUUGACGAAGUGAUCUGAUGCUAGGCUGUAGUUAGUGUUGUCAAGUGUUAGUGCAAGAGACCUUACCCCGGGGCUGGUGCCUGGAGCCCGAGGAGUCCCCAGUGCCCUCAGCGUGGGGCACUCCAGGCGAACCACUGGGGGGUUUUCAAUAUAUUUUUUAAAAUUUGGUGUUUCUGAAGCGGCAACUUUCAGGUUAGACCCAGCAACAGGGUGUCUACUGUAGUGAGCCAAGAGCCCUGGUAGGGGCUGGGAAGGCUCCGAGCGCCUCUCCGACAGCCCGGGGCUGCGAAGUGCAGCCCCGCAGCUGCGGCCGGGGACCGCUGCCCGCCGCCACAGAGCGGGGCCACCUCCCGGGGCUGCGGCCAUCCCCUUGUCCCCGCGCUUCCCCAGCACCUGGGCAGGAUCAGCCCGUCCCAGGCAUUCAUGGCCGUUCUGCAAACUAAGUGUCGAAAGCUCCCGCAAAGCAACAAGCAAAAACCUGCAAAGGGGAAAAGGCUAUAAUCAAGCAGCAGAGCUUCGGGGAUUUGGAGACGAGCGUGGAGUUCGGAUCAAAUGGGAUUUAAAUGUAAACAGCAGUAACUGCAUAUGAUCAAUAAUCACCCCGUGGGCAUUCCUCUACUCAUUUAACAUCAGCUAGGACAGUGCAAAUAUUGCAAGUGAGUACUCGACAAGGAAAUCAACUGAGCAUGUUUAAACUGUAGUUAAUUAUUAAUAUGAACAAUUCUUUUCAAUUAAAUGUUUCGUUUAAUCCCCUCACAUCGCCUUGUCUAGGAAGCUACAUGUCUAGCUUUCAAAAUGAUAAUGUGGGUGCAGACUUAUUCUGAGGAAUUUGAUAUAAUCCAUAUAAUAUCAUUCGUGCAAUGAAUUAUCAUCUUGACUCUUCUCUUUGUCCUAACCAACUGAGGCAACGAACACUUUUUCUGUAAAUACUUAUGACGGUUUUUAGAUGCUAAAAGUAAUUUUGUCAGGAAGGUCCCUCAAAGUGCAGGGGAAAACCACAUCUCGGUGAAGCUACAAGUCCUGGAAAUGUGAGUUCAAAAGGAAAAGCAGCUCAUGUAUCCAACAAUAACUUUGAAAUAAAUUAAUUGUAACUAGUA